UAGAAGGCUGUUCUAGAAGUGCUUCUCGGCUUUUAAUCAAUCGUUGGGCAGCUGCCUUACAUCGCUAUCAUGAUACAUCUAUUGAUUUGUCUGAAGGACCUGUUCUGUACUCUGGAAGUAGUGAUUCAGCCUGGAGGAAUUUCAGACUUCCCCAUCAGAUGAUGUCCCCAACAAACACUACUGGGCCGCAUCAAGCUCACAGAUGGAUUUCUUACCCGAUCUUCUUCGUGCAAUUCAAAAUGCCAAUGCUGACAACUAACUACAGACAAAGUGCGGCGAAUGCGAUGUUGACUAAGGAAAGCUCAAGAAGCCAAUGGGUGUCGUCCUCGAUACGGCCAUUUCACAUACACUUGAGAAAUUUUUAUUGUUUGGUUUCUGGGUUUUUGUUUGUUCAUUUUUUUGGGGCAGAGGAAGAAAAACUUUGGUGAGCAUAUACGGUAGGAGGAGAAAACUGACCACAGAAGGAGUUCUGUAAUCCACAAAAUGUCUCGGAGAAUAUACACCACUGGUUCGUCAAUAUUUCA